ACCCUCAAGACUUCUUACCUCUCAGACCUAAAUAUUGAUCUGAGUGGCCAAAAAAGGGGGAAAAGCAAAACUGAAAUGCAGAUGGAGUCCUUAGUGACAUACAAGUUCAUUUCAAACAUAA
rnacentral:snoRNA from 1 species